CUCUGCAACGCUACAAGCUGACAAUGGAUGCCUUGGGUAUUCAUGCCGAGGAAGGACGCAUAUGGCGGCGAUACUCGUCGGGGAGGAGCCAUACUCCAUUUAUCCGGCGGUUUCCGAAUCGAGAAAUCGACCCCGAUCAUAUCGGGGGAGUCCAUCGUAAAGGCAAUCGAAAGAUUGACAUAGCGAUGGGCAGGGCACCAUCUGAACUGAAACAUCUCAGUAAGGUGAGGAAAAGAAAUCAAAAGAGAUUCCGUAAGUAGCGGCGAGCGAAAGCGGAACAGCCCAAACUCUGGCGCAAGCCAGGGGGUUGUGGGGCAGAAGACAUGGGAGUGUCGCGGAUAGGAGAAUGCCUUGGAAUAGGCAGUCAAAGAAAGUGAAAACCUUGUAUCCGAAAUCCAAAA
rfam:Candidatus Gottesmanbacteria bacterium RIFCSPLOWO2_01_FTLL_48_11 rifcsplowo2_01_scaffold_24831, whole genome shotgun sequence.